GACGAACGCUGGCGGCGUGCUUAACACAUGCCAGUCGAACGGAAAGUCCUCUUUCGGGGGGUACUCGAGUGGCGAACGGGUGGGAAACACGUGAGUAAUCUGCCCUUGACUUUGGGAUGACUUCAGGAAACUGGGGCUAAUUUCGGAUAGGAGCUCCUGCUGCUUGGGGGGGGUUGGCAUGGUUCGGCGGUUGCGGCUGGGUUCACGGCUUAUCAGCUUGUUGGUGGGGUAGGGGCUGACAAAGGCUUUGACGGGUAUCCGUCCUGGGAGUGAGACCGGCCACAGUGAGACUGAGAUACGGCCCAGACUCCUACGGGAGGCAGCAGUGGGGAAUGUUGCACUAUGGGUAUAAGCCUGAUGCAGCAACGCCGUUGGCGUGAUGACGGCCUUCGGGUUGUAAUCCUCUUGCUCUCAUGACGAAGCUUUUUGUGACGGUAGUGGGUAAAGAAGCACCGGCUAACUCCGUG
rnacentral:rRNA from 1 species